rnacentral:rRNA from 1 species
ACCAGACUCCUACGGGAGGCAGCAGUGAGGAAUAUUGGUCAAUGGUCGGGAGACUGAACCAGCCAAGCCGCGUGAGGGAGGAAGGUACAGAGUAUCGUAAACCUCUUUUGUCAGGGAACAAAGACUGGGACGCGUCCCCGGAUGAGUGUACCUGAAGAAAAAGCAUCGGCUAACUCCGUGCCAGCAGCCGCGGUAAUACGUAGGGGGCAAGCGUUAUCCGGAUUUACUGGGUGUAAAGGGAGCGUAGACGGCAGGGCAAGUCUGGAGUGAAAGCCCGGGGCCCAACCCCGGGACUGCUUUGGAAACUGCCAUGCUAGAGUGCUGGAGAGGUAAGCGGAAUUCCUAGUGUAGCGGUGAAAUGCGUAGAUAUUAGGAGGAACACCAGUGGCGAAGGCGGCUUACUGGACAGUAACUGACGUUGAGGCUCGAAAGCGUGGGGAGCAAACAGGAUUAGAUACCCCAGUAC